rnacentral:rRNA from 1 species
UGGGGAAUUUUGGACAAUGGGGGAAACCCUGAUCCAGCCAUCCCGCGUGUGCGAUGAAGGCCUUCGGGUUGUAAAGCACUUUUUGCAGGAAAGAAACGUCAUGGGUUAAUACCCCGUGAAACUGACGGUACCUGCAGAAUAAGCACCGGCUAACUACGUGCCAGCAGCCGCGGUAAUACGUAGGGUGCAAGCGUUAAUCGGAAUUACUGGGCGUAAAGCGUGCGCAGGCGGUUCGGAAAGAAAGAUGUGAAAUCCCAGAGCUCAACUUUGGAACUGCAUUUAUAACUACCGGGCUAGAGUGUGUGAGAGGGGGGUGGAAUUCCGCGUGUAGCAGUGAAAUGCGUAGAUAUGCGGAGGAACACCGAUGGCGAAGGCAGCCUCCUGGGAUAACACUGACGCUCAUGCACGAAAGCGUGGGGAGCAAACAGG